GAUGAACGCUAGCGGCAGGCCUAAUACAUGCAAGUCGAACGGUAAAUAGAGUAGCAAUACUUUAUGUGAGUGACGUACGGGUGCGUAACACGUAUGCAACCUACCCUUUACAGGCGGAUAGCUCGGGGAAACCCGAAUUAACCCGUCGUAGUAUAAUUGGAUGGCAUCAUCUGAUUAUUAAAACUCCGGUGGUAAAGGAU
rnacentral:rRNA from 1 species